UACGUAGGGUGCAAGCGUUAAUCGGAAUUACUGGGCGUAAAGCGUGCGCAGGCGGUUUUGUAAGUCUGACGUGAAAUCCCCGGGCUCAACCUGGGAAUUGCGUUGGAGACUGCAAGGCUGGAGUCUGGCAGAGGGGGGUAGAAUUCCACGUGUAGCAGUGAAAUGCGUAGAGAUGUGGAGGAACACCGAUGGCGAAGGCAGCCCCCUGGGUCAAGACUGACGCUCAUGCACGAAAGGCGUGGGGAGCAAACGAGG
rnacentral:rRNA from 1 species